rnacentral:rRNA from 1 species
UACGAAGGGGGCUAGCGUUGUUCGGAUUAACUGGGCGUAAAGGGUGCGUAGGCGGGUUUUUAAGUCAGGGGUGAAAUCCCGAGGCUCAACCUCGGAACUGCCUUUGAUACUGGAAAUCUUGAGUCUGGGAGAGGUGAGUGGAACUGCGAGUGUAGAGGUGAAAUUCGUAGAUAUUCGCAGGAACACCAGUGGCGAAGGCGGCUCACUGGACCACAACUGACGCUGAGGUGCGAAAGCGUGGGGAGCAAACAGGG